rnacentral:rRNA from 1 species
AGAGUUUGAUCAUGGCUCAGGACGAACGCUGGCGGCGUGCUUAACAAAUGCAAGUCGAACGAGGAUUAAUACUUCGGUGUUGAUCCGAGUGGCGGACUGGUGAGUAACACGUGAGUAACCAACCUUGUACAGGGGGAUAACUAAGAGAAAUCUUAGCUAAUACCGCAUAGAACAGGAAAGUCGCAUGACAGAAGAGUUAAAGGAGAAAUCCGGUACAAGACGGACUCGCGCAUCAUUAGUUAGUUGGCGGGGUAACGGCCCACCAAGACUACGAUGAUUAGCCGGCCUGAGAGGGUGUACGGCCACAUUGGGACUGAGAUACGGCCCAGACUCCUACGGGAGGCAGCAUUGGGGAAUAUUGGGCAAUGGAGGCAACUCUGACCCAGCGACGCCGCGUGAGCGAAGAAGACCUUCGGGUCGUAAAGCUCUGUCAUUAGGGACGAGAAGAAGACGGUACCUAAUGAGGAAGCCCCGGCAAACUACGUGCCAGCAGCCGCGGUAAUACGUAGGGGGCGAGCGUUGUCCGGAUUUACUGGGCGUAAAGAGUGCGUAGGUGGUUUUACAAGUCAGAUGUGAAAUGCCGCAGCUUAACUGCGGAGCUGCAUCUGAAACUGUAGGACUAGAGUACAGGAGGGGAAAGCGGAAUUCCUAGUGGAGCGGUGAAAUGCGUAGAGAUUAGGAGGAACACCGGUGGCGAAGGCGGCUUUCUGGACUGCAACUGACACUGAUGCACGAAAGCGUGGGUAGCAAACAGGAUUAGAUACCCUGGUAGUCCACGCCGUAAACGAUGGAUACUAGGUGUGGGGUCGAAAAGGCUCCGUGCCGCAGCUAACGCAGUAAGUAUCCCGCCUGGGGAGUACGGCCGCAAGGUUGAAACUCAAAUGAAUUGACGG